rnacentral:ncRNA from 1 species
GCUACGGACUAAUUGGAUUUGAGCCUUGGUAUGGAAACUUAUAAGUGAUAACUUUCAAAUUCAGAGAAACCCUGGAAUUAAUCAAAAAAUGGGCAAUUCUGAGCCAAAUCACGCUUUUCCGAAAACAAACAAAGGUUCAGAAAGCGAAAAUAAAAAAGGAUAGGUGCAGAGACUCGAUGGAAAGCUGUUUCUAACGAAUGUGAGUUGUUGUCUUACAUUGGUAGAGGAAUCCUUCUAUCGAAACUUUCAGAAAGAGGAAGGAUAAACUGUAUACAUGAAGAAUUGGUAUGGAUCGAUUCCAUUAUUGAAGAAAGAAUCAAAUAUCAUUGAUCAAAGCAUUCACGCAUAAUCUGAUAGAUCUUUUUGAAUAACUGAUGAAAUCGGACGAGAAUAAAGAUAGAGUCCCGUUCUACAUGUCAAUACCGG